GAUGAACGCUGGCGGCGUGCCUAAUACAUGCAAGUCGAGCGAACGGACGAGAACCUUGCUUCUCUGAUGUUAGCGGCGGACGGGUGAGUAACACGUGGAUAACCUACCUAUAAGACUGGGAUAACUUCGGGAAACCGGAGCUAAUACCGGAUAAUAUUUUGAACCGCAUGGUUCAAAAGUGAAAGACGGUCUUGCUGUCACUUAUAGAUGGAUCCGCGCUGCAUUAGCUAGUUGGUAAGGUAACGGCUUACCAAGGCAACGAUGCAUAGCCGACCUGAGAGGGUGAUCGGCCACACUGGAACUGAGACACGGUCCAGACUCCUACGGGAGGCAGCAGUAGGGAAUCUUCCGCAAUGGGCGAAAGCCUGACGGAGCAACGCCGCGUGAGUGAUGAAGGUCUUCGGAUCGUAAAACUCUGUUAUUAGGGAAGAACAUAUGUGUAAGUAACUGUGCACAUCUUGACGGUACCUAAUCAGAAAGCCACGGCUAACUACGUGCCAGCAGCCGCGGUAAUACGUAGGUGGCAAGCGUUAUCCGGAAUUAUUGGGCGUAAAGCGCGCGUAGGCGGUUUUUUAAGUCUGAUGUGAAAGCCCACGGCUCAACCGUGGAGGGUCAUUGGAAACUGGAAAACUUGAGUGCAGAAGAGGAAAGUGGAAUUCCAUGUGUAGCGGUGAAAUGCGCAGAGAUAUGGAGGAACACCAGUGGCGAAGGCGACUUUCUGGUCUGUAACUGACGCUGAUGUGCGAAAGCGUGGGGAUCAAACAGGAUUAGAUACCCUGGUAGUCCACGCCGUAAACGAUGAGUGCUAAGUGUUAGGGGGUUUCCGCCCCUUAGUGCUGCAGCUAACGCAUUAAGCACUCCGCCUGGGGAGUACGACCGCAAGGUUGAAACUCAAAGGAAUUGACGGGGACCCGCACAAGCGGUGGAGCAUGUGGUUUAAUUCGAAGCAACGCGAAGAACCUUACCAAAUCUUGACAUCUUUUGACAACUCUAGAGAUAGAGCCUUCCCCUUCGGGGGACAAAGUGACAGGUGGUGCAUGGUUGUCGUCAGCUCGUGUCGUGAGAUGUUGGGUUAAGUCCCGCAACGAGCGCAACCCUUAAGCUUAGUUGCCAUCAUUAAGUUGGGCACUCUAAGUUGACUGCCGGUGACAAACCGGAGGAAGGUGGGGAUGACGUCAAAUCAUCAUGCCCCUUAUGAUUUGGGCUACACACGUGCUACAAUGGACAAUACAAAGGGCAGCGAAACCGCGAGGUCAAGCAAAUCCCAUAAAGUUGUUCUCAGUUCGGAUUGUAGUCUGCAACUCGACUACAUGAAGCUGGAAUCGCUAGUAAUCGUAGAUCAGCAUGCUACGGUGAAUACGUUCCCGGGUCU
rnacentral:rRNA from 1 species